GAAUAUUGGUCAAUGGACGCAAGUCUGAACCAGCCAUGCCGCGUGGAGGAUGAAGGACCUCUGGAUUGUAAACUUCUUUUAUCUGGGACGAAACACUUCUUUUCUAAGUGGCCUGACGGUACCAGAUUAAUAAGCACCGGCUAACUCCGUGCCAGCAGCCGCGGUAAUACGGAGGGUGCAAGCGUUAUCCGGAUUCACUGGGUUUAAAGGGCGCGUAGGUGGGUAUGUAAGUCAGUGGUGAAAUCCCCGAGCUUAACUUGGGAACUGACAUUGAUACUAUAUAUCUUGAAUACCGUUGAGGUAAGCGGAAUAUGUCAAGUAGCGGUGAAAUGCUUAGAUAUGACAUAGAACACCAAUUGCGAAGGCAGCUUACUAAGCGGUAAUUGACACUGAGGCACGAAAGCGUGGGUAGCAAACA
rnacentral:rRNA from 1 species